rnacentral:rRNA from 1 species
AGCAGUAGGGAAUAUUGGGCAAUGGGCGAGAGCCUGACCCAGCCAUGCCGCGUGCAGGAAGAAGGCUUUCUGAGUCGUAAACUGCUUUUGACAGGGAAGAAUAACCAGUACGUGUACUGGGAUGACGGUACCUGCAGAAUAAGCACCGGCUAACUCCGUGCCAGCAGCCGCGGUAAUACGGAGGGUGCGAGCGUUGUCCGGAUUUAUUGGGUUUAAAGGGUGCGUAGGCGGCUGAUUAAGUCUGGGGUGAAAGCCCGUUGCUCAACAACGGAACUGCCCUGGAUACUGGUCAGCUUGAGUACAGACGAGGUUGGCGGAAUGGACGGAGUAGCGGUGAAAUGCAUAGAUACCGUCCAGAACCCCGAUUGCGAAGGCAGCUGACUAGGCUGUUACUGACGCUGAGG